AGAGUUUGAUCCUGGCUCAGGAUGAACGCUAGCGGCAGGCUUAACACAUGCAAGUAGAACGGUAACAGUCCUUCGGGAGCUGACGAGUUGCGAACGGGUGCGUAACGCGUAUGCAACCUACCUAUAACAGAGGGAUAGCCCAUAGAAAUGUGGAUUAAUACCUCAUAACAUCUUAAGAUGGCAUCAUCUAAAGAUUAAAACUCCGGUGGUUAUAGAUGGGCAUGCGUGACAUUAGCUAGUUGGUGAGGUAACUGCUCACCAAGGCAACGAUGUCUAGGGGUUCUGAGAGGAUGAUCCCCCACACUGGUACUGAGACACGGACCAGACUCCUACGGGAGGCAGCAGUGAGGAAUAUUGCGCAAUGGAGGAAACUCUGACGCAGCCAUGCCGCGUGCAGGAAGACUGCCCUAUGGGUUGUAAACUGCUUUUAUAUAGGAAGAACUACAGAUACGUGUAUUUGUUUGACGGUACUAUACGAAUAAGGACCGGCUAACUCCGUGCCAGCAGCCGCGGUAAUACGGAGGGUCCAAGCGUUAUCCGGAUUUAUUGGGUUUAAAGGGUCCGUAGGCGGGUCAUUAAGUCAGUGGUGAAAUCCUACAGCUCAACUGUAGAACUGCCAUUGAAACUGAUGACCUUGAAUAUAAUUGAAGUGGGCGGAAUGUGUCAUGUAGCGGUGAAAUGCUUAGAUAUGACACAGAACACCGAUUGCGAAGGCAGCUCACUAAGUUAUUAUUGACGCUGAGGGACGAAAGCGUGGGUAGCGAACAGGAUUAGAUACCCUGGUAGUCCACGCCGUAAACGAUGUAUACUCGUUGCUAGCGAUACACAGUUAGUGACCAAGCGAAAGUAUUAAGUAUACCACCUGGGGAGUACGAUCGCAAGAUUGAAAC
rnacentral:rRNA from 1 species